CAGCCGCCGCGGGAAUACAGAGGGUGCAAGCGUUAAUCGGAAUUACUGGGCGUAAAGCGCGCGUAGGUGGUUCGCCAAGUUGGAUGUGAAAUCCCCGGGCUCAACCUGGGAACUGCAUCCAAAACUGGCGAGCUAGAGUAUGGUAGAGGGUGGUGGAAUUUUCUGUGUAGCGGUGAAAUGCGUAGAUAUAGGAAGGAACAUCAGUGGCGAAGGCGACCACCUGGACUGAUACUGACACUGAGGUGCGAAAGCGUGGGGAGCAAACAGGAUUAGAUACCCCGGUAGUCCCUGUCUCUUAUAC
rnacentral:rRNA from 1 species